rnacentral:rRNA from 1 species
GACGAACGCUGGCGGCGUGCUUAACACAUGCAAGUCGAACGGAAAGGCCCUGCUUUUGUGGGGUGCUCGAGUGGCGAACGGGUGAGUAACACGUGAGUAACCUGCCCUUGACUUUGGGAUAACUUCAGGAAACUGGGGCUAAUACCUGAUAGGUGCUCCUGCUGCAUGGUGGGGGUUGGAAAUUUUCGGCGGUUGGGGAUGGACUCGCGGCUUAUCAGCUUGUUGGUGGGGUAGUGGCUUACCAAGGCUUUGACGGGUAGCCGGCCUGAGAGGGUGACCGGCCACAUUGGGACUGAGAUACGGCCCAGACUCCUACGGGAGGCAGCAGUGGGGAAUAUUGCACAAUGGGCGGAAGCCUGAUGCAGCAACGCCGCGUGCGGGAUGACGGCCUUCGGGUUGUAAACCGCUUUCGCCUGUGACGAAGCGUGAGUGACGGUAAUGGGUAAAGAAGCACCGGCUAACUACGUG